AUCACCUAGGAAUCUUGUUAAAAUGUAGGUUCUGAUUUAGUAUGUCCAGGGUGAAGCCCAAGAUCCUGCACUUCUAACAAGUGCUGUGGUGAUGUUAA
rnacentral:pre_miRNA from 1 species